rnacentral:rRNA from 1 species
UGGUUGAUCCUGCCAGUAGUCAUAUGCUUGUCUCAAAGAUUAACCCAUGCAAGUCUAAGAACGAUGUUUUAUUCACUUCUAUCCGCGGACAGCUCAUUAUAUCUAUAAUAAUGUAUUUCUAGAUGAUUCUUAUAUUUAUAUCUGAACAAAAUGUUGAGCCAAUAAAUGCCUAAAACAUUACUCUGUAAUGUGUAUUUACUGGAUUGUUGAUUAAUUUUGAUGACUCACAGUAACUUUUCGGACCCUGUCAAGGGUAGUAGAUUUCAAUUUUAGCCCCAUCAUGCUGUUGCUUGUGUAGUGAACAAGCAAACAAAUAACGGGUGACGGAGUAUUGACGUACGACUCCGGAGAGACGGCCUUAGAAACGGCCGUCAUUUCUAAGGAAAGCAGCAGGGGCGCAAAUUACACAAUGUCAGAACGACGAUGUAGUGACAAGAAAUAUCUGAGUUUUAGUCUUAUGAUUAAAACUACAGAAAUGAGUUAGGUCUAAAACACCAAACGAUGAACCACUCGAGGGCAAGUCUGGUGCCAGCAGCUGCGGUAAUUCCAGCUCGAGUAGCGUAUACUGAAAUUGCUGUGGUUAAAAAGCUCGUAGUUUAGUUUCUUUUAUUGGGUUUGUUUCCACUUCAUUCGUGAGGUGUGUAAACUCCUCCCAAUUUAAUUCGCCACGUUAUUUACUUGACGAGGUAUUUUACCGAGAUCAAAUCAAACUGCUCAAAGAAGGCUCACGCCAGAACACUACAGCUUGGCACAAAAACAUAGGGAUUCUAGUUUUUAUAAUCAAAAACACUCAAAUCAAUAACACAUAGGAGCAAUUGGGGGUGCUUGUAUUUCAAGGCUAGAGGUGAAAUUCUUGGAUCCUUGAAAGACAAUCUCAUGCGAAAGCAUUCACCAAGCGUGUUUCCUUUGAUCAAGAACGAAAGUUGGAGGAUCGAAAACGACCAGAUACCGUUGUAGUUCCAACCGUAAACUAUAUAGACUCGAGGCUUUCCAUUGUUUAACUAAACUUGGAAAGAAUCGUAAGAGAAAUCAAAGUAUUUAUAUUCCAGGGGGAGUAUGGUCGCAAGAUUGAAACUUAAAGGAAUUGACGGAGUAGCACCACAAGGGGUGGAAUUUGCGGCUUAAUUUGACCCAACGCGGGGAAACUUACCAGUGUCAGAGAAUAGUAGGAUUGACAGAUUGAAGCUCUUUCAUGAUUUUUAUGUUGGUGGUGCAUGGCCGUUCUUAGUUGGUGGAGUGAUUUGUCUGGUUAAUUCCGUUAACGAACGAGAUGA